GGCAGUGCAGAUUGUUGGAACCUGAUAGGGAUGGACUCCACAUCUGGUGAAGUAAAGGAGAGUGACUUCGGAGUCUUUCCUGAAGGACUUGCAGGCAUCACUGAUACUGCUGAUUCCGGAGAUCUCAUCUGAGAGCUACUGAACGGAGGCGAUGCAUCACACAGGUUUCCACAUAUAGAAAAACAUCAGCCGUACAUUAGAGCCCUAACGAGCUCAUCAGUUCUGAGUGUAAAAGCUGUGGAACCUUCGGAUCUGAAUCUCAAUGAGUCCCGGACUUACCGCACCACUUCAC